GGUGGUUCUGGAGUGACGCACCCCUGAAUUGGGCUCCCUCCUCUCUGGUUCUGGGGUGCGUCACCUGAGAACCACU
rfam:Myotis lucifugus cont2.36415, whole genome shotgun sequence.